rnacentral:lncRNA from 1 species
UAUAUAGAGUUCAGCUAUGGUGCUUGUAAAAGCACCAAGCACUUGGUGCUUGUAAGUUUUUUACCGUUAGAUCUACUUCUCGGAUCAUUUUCAGCCAUUAGAUUAUACUAUUCAACCAACCACUCACUCAACCCUAGGGGGCCCACAUCAUCCUAACCGCGUAUCUCUUAAUCCAAUAGCUAAAAACCUACAAGCACCAAUAACUUGGUACUUUUAAAAGCAUAGGAGCUCAAUUUUAUAUAUAUAUAUAUAUAUAUAUAUAGAGUGAGGCUACUAUGCUAUCGGAAGCACGGAGCCUUCUGUGCUUCCAGCUCGUUUUCGAUGUUGCGACUUUCGAAUCGUUGAUCGGCUCUGUUAAACUUGAUCUAGAGUAUUUGGAGUACCUAGAAAAUAAAUUUUAUUAUUUUUCGAUACCAUUUGCCUAGUGAUCGAAUGUGCUCAAAAUCAAUAAAUUUCAAUGGCCGUAGUGAGCCGUUUGCAAGUUUAAUGGUGUAGAAAUAUCCAAAUCACGUGAAAUUUUGAUAGAAAAUUCUUUAUACUAUAUAAAACAAGAUCAAUAUCUUUGAUUUAAAAUUUUAAUGUCAUAUUAUUACNAAUAGUAUAAAUAUCUCUCAAAGAAUGCAAAUUUUGUUUAAAAAGUGUAACUUUCAUCUUAAAAGAUGCAGUUUACAUCUCAAAGAGUGCAAUAAGAGGAGAAACAAUAUAAAUAUCUUUUAAAGAGUGCAAUUUUUGUCUAAAGUGUGUAAUUUUUAUCUUAAAUAUAUGGUGCAGUUUACAUUUUAAGUAGUACAACUUAUGUUCAUAAUAGUGUAACGUUCUUUAAAACAGUAUAAUUUUAUUUUAACGGUACAAUUUUAUCUUCAUCUUUUUUUUUCUAUAAUUAUUUGUCUUUAUUUUUUUUCUUUUUCUUUCUUCUAUAAUUUUUUUU